CAGAAAAAGGGGCUGGCCCAUUUCAAAGAGCCUUCAUAGAAAAAGUCAAGACGUGCGGUGCGGCCAGUGUGGGUCACAACAAACAGCGAUUAAGAAGAGUACACACAGCUGGAAUUAAACAGCUAAGAGUUCGCUUUGUUUUCAGAUCAAAUAGCUUUUUCAUUUUCUUACAGGUAACACUUUUUUCCCCCCAGUGCUUAACCGUUUUUACGCCGUUUUAUUUUUGCAUUGCAAAUCUCCGCAGUGAAACGAAUGAUUUCCAGGGAGAGCAGCAAGAUAGAGCCCCCAGCUGUCAGACAUAGGGAAAUGGUCAAGAGUGAAAAAGACAAAGAACAUGGCGAGAGUUAGUGGGCAGCGGUUAAAUGCCACCUCAGAUUAAUAUUACAUACGCGCACAUCAGAAAAACGAAACGCGAAUGUUUUUUUUUUAAAAAGCUUAUAACAGAAGUUCCUCCAGCUUUAAAGGGGGUAAUGGAAAAGUUCAGAACCUAGCAAGACGGCAGGGGUCAAAGAAUUUACCCUUCACUUGUCUUCCAGCGAACAGUACUGGACCAUGACCUUUCAAUGACUCACACAUGCUGUUUGGAAAAUCUGAUUCUCUUUAACUUCAUUGGGAAAGGUAUAUAUGGAUUUGAAACAAUAACAUGUUUGAAAUUGCAUGCACUUUGUAAUCUUCCCUACUCUUUAUCCACACCCUAAUCAUGGUCUCCCAAUUUUUUCCUUAAAUUGGAUACCAUUUUUAAUUAAAACCUAAAGCUAAUUGUUCUUUUGUCUAUAGAUAUACAUUAUCGGCUUUUCAUUAAAAUAAAGAGCACUCUUUCAUGAAAAAUGAAAAAUGUGAUACAUCAUGCAUAAAUGUUUAACAACAGAGUUGUAUUACAUGUCCAUGUAAUAUCGGGUUAACUUAUCGAGGGCAUAUCAUAUAAAUAAUUUCCUUGGCUUCCUAAUUGAUCCAUAUAAUCACAGUUGAUACUGUCAUAGUACUACUCUCAUGGCCUUCAAUAAGUGACUUGCACCUCUGAUUAUGACGAACACCCCUCCCCCUGUUGCUUUACUGUGCUAUAUGGUUGCCAAGUGUUAAGAAUUCCCGGAAUGCAGAAUUGCAGUGUUCUGAUAAAGUUUGCUUUGUUCCCUCAGUGACUUGACCCACUGAAGAAAAUAUGGGACCCUGGGAUUUUAAUAGAAGAGAGCCAGAAUUUUUAUGAAGUAUAGUGGCAUACUGCCUCAACCUGCUUAAUACCCAGGGGUUUUAUUACAUUUUCAAAGCUAGAGUUAGUGCACCUUCCUAAAUUAAGGAGCUAUAGUUGAAAAAUGCUGAUGAUUAAUAACUUUUAAAGCCCCAAGGCACUGUAAAAUUAUGAUUCUAAAAACCACAAAAUGCAUUCAGGUAAGAGGGUAGCUAUGCUUGUGCUCAGAAAGUUUUCCAAACUACAGAAAUACCAAUGAGCUCAUUUGUUUGAGAACUGAACCUGUUUCUAAAACAAACCUAGCUCUUAACUGCACUUUUCUGAAUUCUAAAUAAUUAACAGUUUUAGGAUUGAUGGAGAGGUCUGUCAGUAUUAAAUAAGGAAUUGUUGAGAGCACCUCUGCCCCCUUUCCCUCAGUAGAAAUAAACAAAAACCAUUUCCACUGCCUCAUGAAUACUGGAGUAGUGUUACUCCUGCGUUUGUUCUCUUUAUAUUAUUGUGGUCGAGGUAAGAUACAUGAUUCUUGACUGAAAAGCAAAGUGCUCAGUAGUGUUUAGAGUUAUGGGGACAAAAUUGCUAGCCAUUGUGUGCAACAGACUGCCACAUUGAUGAUCCAAUCAAUGUUCUUGAUAUAUUAAACCACAAGACCAAAAAAAAGACAGUCUGAACAGCCUCCUUUCAUCUGCAGCUUUACUUAAUUGUCACAGUAACUCUGAAAACCUUAUUCUUUUAACACUCCUCCCCAGAGAGGUGCUAUUAAGUCAUGAUAUGCAAGAUGGCAAUGAUAGCUACAUUUGUGUAGAAGAUGAUGAGGAGUUUCUGCAUCUGACAGAGCUGUUGUUGUUAAAAUGUUAGAGGGUUGAAGCCCCUCCUGUGAAGUUGAUGGAGUGACAGGAGUCUUUGGAUGUGGAAUAGGGGCACAGGGAUAGGAAGGGAGAAGGCCAGCCAGCAAGAGGAGCUUGGUUCCUAGUACGUUUGUACGUCUACACAGUAGAAGCAAUGGUGUCAUUGCUGAAGGCAGGCUGUGCCCUGAACUGAAACUGCCUGUGUCAAUUGGGAAAGCAGUUGCAAAGCAGACAGUGAGAGCCAAUACAGUAUGUUGUCCAGUUUGAGCAAAUUUUCUGGGAGGUGGAGCACAAGACCUACCUACAAGGUAGGCAGAAUUCAGAGAUUGAAAGCACAUGAAAGAGGGGGGUCUGUAGUUUUUAGUGUGAUGGUGACCGAGCUAUAGUUCUGGGGGUGUGUAGGGUUGUGUUGUUGAGAAGAGAGGCCAAGGAUAAUGUUCACGCACUAGAGAGGGAGACCGGGGAGUGGAAGAGGGAGUUGAGGGUGUCAUACUUAGUACAAGAAAUAGCCUGAGGCAAGAUAGGGGCUGUGGAGCUGCAGUCAGGCAGAGGGGCUGGAUCGCUGGCCUGGGGACGUGGUUAUGUGGGAGCAGUGGGGAUGGGGGGUGUUGAGGUCAAACAAAUCCAAACAAAUUUUCUCACUUCUUGCAAGAGUAAAUGCAAGAUCAUAUUUCCAUUUAAAAUCAGGCCUUUAGUUUCAAAACAAUGACAUUUUGAACCAUCAAAGGUUAUGCAACCAGAAAAAUAAUUUCUGUUCCUUGUGGCUGAGUCAUGCAGUUUGAACACUACAAAAAAAAGUGCCACUUCAGCACCUGCAGGACAAUCUCUCAGACUCUGCAGUUUUAGGGUAAACAGGGAUGUGCCUGUUUGGACACACUUGAAGGGCAAACAUAAACAAGAGCCGGGUUGCGGAAUAGCAGUGGUCAGAUUACAGAAAACAGUCAUAUUACCAUUUGAUCGACUGAUUCUGUGUUCGACAGGUUUGUGAUCUGUGUGAUUUAAGAAAGUUGGUAUGAGACUCUUUAAAAACCAUGUUAUCUUGCAUUUCAGUGUAUUUUGUUUGUAAAGUGGCAUUGAUGUCAUCAUUUAAUUUGCUAAAAUCCAGCCUUGACAGUGUGAGAGACUCUUCGUGGGAGCUUCUCAUGGUUUGGGGUUGACAAAGAUAGAUGGCAGUACUGGCAACUGUAAACAUCCUUGACUGGAAGCUGGUGCAGAAGAUGGGGCUUUCAGUCGGAUGUUUGCAGCUGCCAACUGCUAUUACCUUCAAAUCCCUCUUUCAUUUUUGUUAAUAACUCUCUGAAAUGUGAUGCUCCCAUCUUGCCUUCCCAAAGAAGUUGAUCAUUUCCAACAAAAAAAAUGCAAAAAAAAAAACACUGAACAAAACAGAAAAAAAACAUUGUCAUUGCUUGGACAAAAGCCCCAUUGAUACAAUUCUCAAUAUAACAAAGAUUUUUAAAUAAUUCAAAAGUAUUUAAUUCUGAAUGUCACAGUGAAUAUAGUGAAAAUAGCUGAAUAAAAUACUUGCUGCUAACUAUAAUUGAUGAGAAUUAUUCUUUACUAUGGCAUGUUUUCUUAUUGGUACAAUGACAAGAAAACAAUUGAUUAAAAACCAUUAUGAUGAUUGUUGUUAAUUUUAAUUGGGUGCUUCUCCUAAUUCAUAUAGUUGACUGCAAUUAGGUUUCCUAAAUACCUUCAUUUGCAACUAGCAUUGUAGUCGUACUGUUGAUUUCACUGUCCUUGAAUCAAUGCAAGAAAUUUGAAAAUGCAUGCAAAAACUGGUUUAUAAGAAGUAACAUUUAGAAGUUAAAGCCAAUGUGGCACAUUGAAUUACACCUUGAAUUCAACGAAUGGAUAUAUUUUAGUAAUAAAAAACAUUGUAAAACAAAACACCAGAGCCAAUAGGUAAUUAAAAUGGUUGCUUUGUAAGUUGCAGCUCUUUCUGGUUGGCCUCUGUUGUGGAAAAAUGUUAAACUCCUGGGGUGGGAGCUUAAAAAAGGGGGAUCUUAACAAGUGCUGAUUUUAGCAGUGAAAUGUCAACCCUGUGACACUUGGCAUGGCAUUUCUUUCAGAUUAGUUCUAGUGACCAUAAGAGAAACAUUCCUUUCAAGCAAAUGCAGAACCAUAACUACCAGAUUAGUGCUGCUCACACGUUCAAGAAGCCAUAACUUCGGCUUUUCUUAAACUCAGGAUGACAACUUCAAUUGCAACAGGUCUUUCAGUGUUCUAUUUUUCCUAUGAUGUCUAAGUAUCUUACCCUAAAACAUAUAAAAUAGAGCACAGUGAAUGCUGUAGAUGUUUUUGUUGACUCCAUUCAGGGUUUAGAUUGAAUAUGUAGUGUAAAAAGGGUUGUCUCACAGAAACGUUUAAAGAAAAUGUACUAUAGGGGGAUUCUUUUGUAUGCUCCCAGUAUUACUUUGGAUCUUAAUAAUGGUUCAAUCCUUCUAAUCAGCAAUACAGUCUGACAAGAGUCUUUAGUUGCAUUCAUGAUGAUCCACAAGGUUGAAAAAAAGAGUAAGAGUACGAAAAAAAGAGUCAAAACUCUUUAGCUUAUAUUACAGAAUAUUAAAAAUGCAUAAAAACUGUGAUAUUUGGAUUCUGAUUAAAAGCAAUUAUAACCGAAAACAGAAGGCCUGAAGGCUCUCCAUGACCAAGGCUGAUCUUUCUAAUAAAUUGAUCAUUGAAUUCAGCACCCUGGACAGCAUACUUUCAGAUACCGCAACCAUAUUUCUUAUCAAUCCAUUAUUCUGAGAGAGGACAGUGCCAUAAGUAUUCUAAUUAUAUCCCUGCCGCGAGUUCAAUAAAAUUUCUCCUUGGUUGAUCAUAGCUAUCUAUUCAUCCUCAUCCUUGAAUCUUCCAUUCAUAUUCUUUGACUCAAAAUUGUCUCUCUUAAGGGAAUAUUCUUUUGCCUUUUACUUUAUUACUGCUGUUUUCUGGGGGUUAGAGUCUCCCAAUUCAGUUUGCCACAAAUCCAAUAGCAAUUGAGAAAAUUAUUGUGUCAAAAAUAAUGAAGGACCUUAAACAAUGUCGUCGGCUCUGAUCAAAUGUUUUUCUUUUUACCUAUUUAUGUAUAAGAUAUUCUGAAACCCCUCUGGCCUAAACUUAAUAAAUAUAUACAUUUUCCUUAAAUUCCUUUGUGAAUAACCUUAAACAUAAAUGCAUACAAAGAUAAACUCAAGGAGGUGCUAUCAGAUAUGUUAUUGUUUUUUUUUUAGUUUUCCAUAGAUUGUGGAAUCGCUUAUUUCUUUGUCACACUGAUAUGAUAAGACCUUUUGUAAUAAUAGCGUGUUUUGCAAUCUAAAAAAUCAUUAGUCCACAAGCUGGUUGUUAACCUAUUUUUCGAUCUGAUGACGUUACACUGGGGUUUUUGCUCUACCUCAGGAAAUGUAAAACUGAGCUGUUUAUUUUUUUCAUUGAUCCUUUAAUGUCUACCACUGCUGCAUAUAAUGGAAUCCAAACCAUUUUCCUUGUUUCUUGUCCCUGAACUCAUCACACAGUUCUUUUAAUAAUAAGGGCUGCCCUGACUCCUCCCCCUGCGCCAGUAGAUUUGUUUUUUGUUUCUCUGGUGUAUCAUGAAAGGGAGUAUCUUCUGAAAAGUAGUUCAAUUAGUGGAGCAGCCUCUGGUGCUUUUCUUAAAAUCUUCUCCCACAUAUUAUGCAUCGAGAGACACCUCUUCCCAGCCUGUCUUGACCCUGGGCUCUCUAUAAACAGAGCGUGUGGACCAAUUCCAUGUCUCUGUUUGCUCAUGGGAUUAAUCAGGAGACUCCCUUUCAACAGAGAAAAUUGGGCCAAUGAAUAUGAAAAGCUUUCAAUCAAAAUCAUUCGCAUUCAUAAGGUUUGCCACAUCCUCUGCACAAGAAAGAAGGAGGGAGUUAGUUUGGGUUCUUGCCAGAUUGUAACAAUGACGUUCAUCAGUGGGAGCAAAUGUCUCAGAGGGCAGUUUGCUUCUCUCAUGUUUAUUUUAAAGCACAGUGAUACACAUAAGCACUGUAGUUUGUUACAAUUUAUUUGAAAGGUUCUGUCUUCCUAGAAACACUUUAAAAGCAAUCUACAGGGAAUCACUGUAUAGAAUAUGAGCAGUGGCCUGUAGUAGCUGUUCUGCUACUACAGGAAUGUUUAGAUCCUUGAAAUGGCUUUGACCUUUUCUUCUGUGACUUCUCCAAAACCAAAAAUCACAAACUGUCCUUCUCGGUUAUCCGCCACUCAGAACGUACAAUUCCUUAAGGAGAAUGGCUCGAGCGCUUAACAAGGUUGACUGAUCGUUCCCCAAGAAAAGCACCUUGUGCAGCUUGUUGCCAGAAAGCUAAGAGGAAAGCUGUUUUAUCCUAGAAUAAAACUGGGGAAUGUGGAGGAAAUGCACUUGGUGGAGUUAACUCUCCGCGAGUCCAGCCGCGAGUCUGGGAGAGCCAGAACACAUCAAAGCUUCCUGCCUGGGCCUCAGAAAACAGCUUUUCUACAAAGCCAGUAUUAGUUUAGAAUACUUGACUAAUCAUUGUAUAUACAAGUCCUUUUUUCCUCUGGACCUUUCGAUGGGACUUUUAAACAACCAUACUGACAGAAAAAGAUUACAUAUCUUUCUAUAGGUUCAAUGUAUUAGAUAUAGAUUUGGGCUGAUUCUCAUCAUAAGAGAUUUGAAUGCUUUAAACUAUUAGCCUGAACUAAGGAAAUAUGAAUAAUUAGGCAGUCAAGACUUUCUCACCUGAAGAGGAAAGGUGGAUUCAAAACCUAUGAGGAGGCUUGAAUAAGGUACUUACAUUGUCUUUAACUGGGUUUCUAUUGCUAAAUACUGAACACUUUCUCACAAGAGCUCCGAGAUGAAGGCAGUGUAAACAUCCUACACUCUCAGCUUUGGCAAGUAAAGAGGCUGGGAGAGGGGUGUUUGCGCUCUCUAGCUCGGAAAAGCAACGUCUGAGGAAAUGGGCUUGGUUAAACUAAUAGAUUUGGACUUUAGUACACUUAUGCUCUGUAGGAAUUUGAUCUGAUGGGCUCAAAAAAGCAGACACUGGAGUUAAACCUACCAACUUUAAUGUAUUAAUAAAAUAUUUUUCUUAUUUGCUUGUAAUUCUAAAUCAUUUGAAUUAUUUUUUAUAAAUUAUGGAAAUUAGCAUUACUUUUAAAAGACGCUUGGACACAUAGUGUACCUAAUGACUUUGGUGGAGAAGCUCCUAGAUAUGUUAUAUAACUGCUUCCUUCCUGAGAAGUUGAACAAGUUCAUUUAUAACUCCUAGCCCUUGAAGAAUAUUUUGUUUUUACAAUGUAUCAUGGGAGUCAAAAGAAAUGAUGGUUUUUACAGAUUUCCUGUAAUAUUUACAGGGAACUCUUCUUUAAAAAUGCAUUAGAAAUCUGUGCUGUCUUAACACAGGACAGUGAAUGGGAGUCUUGUAAGUACAUGUAUUAAAAGAUGACUACAUUUGUACGGUUUGCUUUUUCAACUUCGGUUUGUUACUAAAGCUGUGAGGUGGGUUGUUCAACUGCUAGCUACCCAGUUCCACUUCUGGAGUAAUGACAAAAAUGCACAACUAGGAUUGCCCGUCUUUGCUAGUCGGCACACUUAACAUCCUUUUAACAGCUCAAGAUGUAUGUCGUUUGUAGCACAUUAUUUGUGGUAUGAUUUUUAGCUUUUCCUGCUAUCUUACAAAUGUGAAAUUAUGUCAACACUUGGAAUACAUUCUUGCUUUGCACUUGCGAUCUUGCUCAAUGAAAGGAAGUCAUGGCGUGCACGCCCCUUCGGGCAGACAGGGCUGAAACACUUCCACCUCUCUGGCCCCUGUUAACAUGACCUUGCUUUGUGUGCAAGAUGUGCUGACGACUGUUCUGCUUCAUUGACAUCAUUAACGUGGAAGUCUUCAUUUCCUGUCAGGUUUUAGAUUUUUCCUGGCUUAAUUGCAACAUAAAUGCAAUACUUGUGGACUUAUUUGAAAAAGUAUUUUCAGCAGUUAUUUUUUAAAUUGGUGGUUAAUAACCCUUUGUGACCUAUUAGCAGGAUUAUUUUUCUAAGAUUGUAUUGUAUUGAUGUGUGGUGCACUACAAGUUGUUGCAGAGCUAAGACUAAAAGGAUUAAAAACUGUGAAAGGUUUGCAAACAUCAAUUUAAGUUCUUUAUAAAACGUUUUUUAUGUAUAGGUCUUUGAUACUGAUAUCCGAUCCGAUCUGACUUAACCUACCGAGGCACAGAAAGUGUCAUCUCUGCAUUACUUGGGGAAAAAAAAUAUUCAGAAUGUAUAUUAUACAGGUACUAAUCAUGUUGAUGUAUUUACACAAUAUCCAAUUAAAAUUUGAUAUUCCAAGAAUAAA